UACAGAGGGGGCAAGCGUUGUUCGGAAUUACUGGGCGUAAAGGGCGCGUAGGCGGCCUGUUAAGUCGAACGUGAAAUCCCUGGGCUCAACCCAGGAACUGCGUCCGAUACUGGCAGGCUUGAAUCCGGGAGAGGGAUGCGGAAUUCCAGGUGUAGCGGUGAAAUGCGCAGAUAUCAGGAGGAACACCGAUGGCGAAGGCAGGUCUCUGGGCAUUAACUGACGCUGAGGAGCGAAAGCAUGGGGAGCGAACAGG
rnacentral:rRNA from 1 species